AGCGAACGCUGGCGGCAGGCCUAAUACAUGCAAGUCGAGCGCACCUUCGGGUGAGCGGCGGACGGGUGAGUAACGCGUGGGAACGUGCCCUUUGGUACGGGAUAACUGAGGGAAACUUCAGCUAAUACCGUAUGUGCCCUACGGGGGAAAGAUUUAUCGCCAUUGGAGCGACCCGCGUUGGAUUAGCUAGUUGGUGGGGUAAAGGCUCACCAAGGCUACGAUCCAUAGCUGGUCUGAGAGGAUGAUCAGCCACACUGGGACUGAGACACGGCCCAGACUCCUACGGGAGGCAGCAGUAGGGAAUCUUGCGCAAUGGGCGAAAGCCUGACGCAGCCAUGCCGCGUGAAUGAUGAAGGUCUUAGGAUUGUAAAAUUCUUUCACCGGGGAAGAUAAUGACGGUACCCGGAGAAGAAGCCCCGGCUAACUUCGUGCCAGCCGCCGCGGUAAAAC
rnacentral:rRNA from 1 species